rnacentral:rRNA from 1 species
AUGGCCGCCGCCUCCCUGUCUCGCCUCUCUCGCCGCGCCUCCGCCACCGCGGCGCCUUCCCUCCGUCGGAUCCUCUCCUCCACCGCCACCGCCCCCGCUGCGCCAUCGUCCUCACCACCCCCCGUCGCAGCCGCGGCGGCAGGUGCGGAUCGGGUGCGGUGGGAUUACCGCGGGCAGCGGCAGCUAGUACCACUGGGGCAGUGGCUUCCCAAGGUGGCCGUCGACGCGUACGUUGCUCCCGACGCCGUGCUCGCCGGGCAGGUCACCGUCCACGACGGCGCCUCCGUCUGGAGCGGCUCCGUGCUACGGGGCGACCUCAACAAGAUCACUCUUGGGUUCUGCGCCAACGUCCAGGAGCGGUCCGUCCUCCACGCCGCCUGGUCGGCCUCUACAGGUCUUCCAGCUGAGACCCUUGUUGACCGGUAUGUGACAGUGGGUGCGUACUGUCUUCUGCGCUCAUGCACUAUUGAACCUGAGUGCAUCAUCGGUCAGCAUUCCAUCCUAAUGGAAGGCUCAUUGGUUGAAACUAACUCAGUCCUUGAAGCUGGCUCUGUCCUGGCCCCAGGGAGGAGGAUUCCGACUGGCGAACUCUGGGCUGGCAACCCUGCCAGGUUUGUUAGGAAGCUGACCAACGAAGAGAUAAUGGAGAUUCCAAAGCUCGCUGUGGCCAUCAAUGAUCUUAUGCAAAGCCAUUUCUCAGAGUUCCUCCCAUACUCUAAUGCUUAUUUGGAGGUAGAGAAGCUGAAGAAGUCGUUUUCAAUUCCUUUGUGA